rnacentral:rRNA from 1 species
GGGGAAUAUUGCACAAUGGGCGAAAGCCUGAUGCAGCAACGCCGCGUGAGUGAUGAAGGUCUUCGGAUUGUAAAGCUCUGUCUUUUGGGACGAUAAUGACGGUACCAAAGGAGGAAGCCACGGCUAACUACGUGCCAGCAGCCGCGGUAAUACGUAGGUGGCGAGCGUUGUCCGGAUUUACUGGGCGUAAAGGGUGCGUAGGCGGAUGUUUAAGCGAGAUGUGAAAUACCCGGGCUUAACUUGGGUGCUGCAUUUC